UUCGUAAAUGUUUAGUGUUCUUCAUUAUGUGGGAUGAACCGACAAACUUUUCUAAUUGGGGCAAUUUUGUCCUAUAUUGUUCAUGUAUUCACAAAACUAUGUCAGAUUAAAUAAAAUAACACUGGGGUUUUCUCUUGUCUUCUGAUACUGCUGAUCAAGAUCAUCUUGUUCACAAUGGCAGAUGAGCCAUGUAUAUGCAUGAAAUCAGUUCCCCUUACUUAGGUGUAUCAAAAAGGUGCAAGGUAGCUGUACUUAUUCUGUUCAAGGUGCUUCAUGCAGUCCUGUGCUCUACCCUCCUGGUGCCAUUCAGUGGACUCUGGAAAACACCGUGGUCUAGCUACAACUGAGGUUAGGGAACCUGAAGCUCCAGCAGAUAUAAUGACAAUGUCUCUCAGCAUAAACAGUGGAACCUAUGGCUUUGGGAAAUGGCCCAGUUGGUGAAGAUGAAGAACCGAGUUUGAGGUCCGGGACCCAUAGCAAGUUCUUUGAUCCACUCCAGAACCUUCAGAGAUCCCUGGGACUAAACAACCAACCAUGGAGGGACCCAUGGCUGAAUAUGUG
rnacentral:sRNA from 1 species